GGACUCUGGGAUAACCCCGAGAAAUCGGAGCUAAUACCGGAUAGGACCUUUCCUCGCAUGAGGUUUGGUGGAAAGUUUUUCGGUCUGGGAUGGACUCGCGGCCUAUCAGCUUGUUGGUGAGGUAAUGGCUCACCAAGGCGUCGACGGGUAGCCGGCCUGAGAGGGUGACCGGCCACACUGGGACUGAGACACGGCCCAGACUCCUACGGGAGGCAGCAGUGGGGAAUAUUGCACAAUGGGCGCAAGCCUGAUGCAGCAACGCCGCGUGCGGGAUGACGGCCUUCGGGUUGUAAACCGCUUUUAGUAGGGAAGAAGGGCUUCGGCUUGACGGUACCUGCAGAAAAAGGACCGGCUAACUACGUGCCAGCAGCCGCGGUAAUACGUAGGGUCCGAGCGUUGUCCGGAAUUAUUGGGCGUAAAGAGCUCGUAGGCGGUUUGUCGCGUCUGCUGUGAAAACUAGAGGCUCAACCUCUAGCCUGCAGUGGGUACGGGCAGACUUGAGUGGUGUAGGGGAGACUGGAAUUCCUGGUGUAGCGGUGGAAUGCGCAGAUAUCAGGAGGAACACCGAUGGCGAAGGCAGGUCUCUGGGCACUUACUGACGCUGAGGAGCGAAAGCGUGGGGAGCGAACAGGAUUAGAUACCCUGGUAGUCCACGCCGUAAACGUUGGGCGCUAGAUGUGGGGACCUUUCCACGGUUUCCGUGUCGUAGCUAACGCAUUAAGCGCCCCGCCUGGGGAGUACGGCCGCAAGG
rnacentral:rRNA from 1 species